rnacentral:lncRNA from 1 species
UGUGUUUAUCUUUAUUGGUUUUUGUUCACGUAAUAAUAGCCAAAAGAAUCAUUAUUAUUAUUGGCUUUGAACAAGUGUUUAGUAACUGUAUUCUUAGAUCUGUACUAACGUGUUUUUGUAAGAUUUUAUUGCGUGUGGGGCUUUGUAUCGAUAUGAUGAGCGAAUCCCGUCUCAACUGAUCUUUUCUUAUGUUGAACUGCUUGCUACACAACUGAACUUUUUCAGCUAGGGGAGGAUUUGGCGUCAAUAAAUAUGUUUAACCCCGCCACAUCAUACAGGUGCCUGUUAAAUGCUGUAUAUCAUUCUUGUUUUUCCUUUAUUGUCUUGUACACAUAUAAGUCAAGCUGUUAUUUUUUUUUUUCGAUUUAAUUGCCUUACAUUUGUCAUUCCGUGGCAUUUUAUAGAAUGAGGAUUGGAUUUUGUUCAUUAUUUGAGACCGUAUGGUGAUCUAUGGAUAUUUUAAACUUCUAUGUCAUUUUGGUAUCUGGUGGUGAGUUAUCUCAUUGUAUUAUUACAUACCCCAUCUUAUUAUUUUUUUAUAUUAUGUUGGAGGUACAGAUGUUAACCAAAACCAACAUAAUAUUUGUAAGUGUAGCUGUAUAUUUCCUGUCGGAUUUUGUAUUUUUAAAUUAUAUCUAUUCAUUGUUAAAAUAUAUAAAUCAACCUUUUUCUUUGCAUGUUUCUUUGAAAUAUUCUAGUGAAAAAAAUGAUAAUUCCUUCCUUUGUCUAAAUAAAGUUUCUUUCGAAGUUUUCAAGAGUUUGAUUUUUCUGUUUUCUUCAGAGGAAUGCAUAACAGGUUUCGCAAUAUAUUUAUAAUUAUUCAUUUUACAUUUUUUUGUAAUCAAAGCUUGUUACAAAUU